GAAAUGCGAUAAGUAAUGUGAAUUGCAGAAUUCAGUGAAUCAUCGAAUCUUUGAACGCAUAUUGCGCCCGCCAGUAUUCUGGCGGGCAUGCCUGUUCGAGCGUCAUUACAACCCUCAGGCCCCGGGCCUGGCGUUGGGGAUCGGCGGAAGCCCCCUGCGGGCACAACGCCGUCCCCCAAAUACAGUGGCGGUCCCGCCGCAGCUUCCAUUGCGUAGUAGCUAACACCUCGCAACUGGAGAGCGGCGCGGCCACGCCGUAAAACACCCAACUUCUGAAUGUUGACCUCGAAUCAGGUAGGAAUACCCGCUGAACUUAAGC
rnacentral:misc_RNA from 1 species